AUUGAACGCUGGCGAAAUGCUUUACACAUGCAAGUCGAGCGGCAGCGCGGGGGCAACCCUGGCGGCGAGCGGCGAACGGGUGAGUAACAUAUCGGAACGUACCCAGUCGUGGGGGAUAACUAUCCGAAAGGAUAGCUAAUACCGCAUACGACCUGAGGGUGAAAGCGGGGGACCGUAAGGCCUCGCGCGAUUGGAGCGGCCGAUAUCGGAUUAGCUAGUUGGUGAGGUAAAGGCUCACCAAGGCGACGAUCCGUAGCUGGUCUGAGAGGACGACCAGCCACACUGGAACUGAGACACGGUCCAGACUCCUACGGGAGGCAGCAGUGGGGAAUUUUUGGACAAUGGGGGCAACCCUGAUCCAGCCAUUCCGCGUGAGUGAAGAAGGCCUCGGUUGUUAAAGGACUCUUUCUAGCAGGAACG
rnacentral:rRNA from 1 species